ACAAUGACAGGCCAUUACUACUACGAAAGACCCUGUCACAGUGGAUAUUUGAAUUCCUAUGGCUACUCUGGCACUUCUUUGUUGCCCUAUACAUCAUCACUGCGCAGUACGUACAUGCCGGCGUCCUAUUGGAGCACGUAUCGCCCGUCCAUCUAUUCGUCAUAUCCACGCGUCUCAAUCUAUUCGGUGCCUUCGACCCCCCGAGCGCUGACGUAUCACGCGGCGAUCCCUAGAAUCACUCACCACCGCUUAUGGGACGUAUCCGCAUCGCCGAUGGUUUCGACACGAGAGCGUCUGUUACGAUACUCUGCUCUCUACGGUGACGAUGACGAUGUAGAAGCCAUCUUGACUCAGGGACAAAAAUAUAACCCUGUCUCAUCGCUGGAAAGUACCUUCUCCAACACUAUACAAGACAUUGAAGACGAUAUACGAAAUUGGCGUUACGCAGCGUCAUCUGUGCUCAACCGUUUUACAACAGGGAAACCGUCAAACGUGGAACUGUCAACGCUGGCCAACCGCUACUCGUCCGACUACGUUAGCGGAAAUAACAAUUAUUGGAGAGGCAGCUCCAGUUCGUACUACCGGCCAACGACGUUGAAGUCUUUUCAAUACUCGAACUUUAAGGCUCCGAUUUACGAUUCGGGUCGCUCCAUGUAUGUCUCCAGUCGUUCAAAGGAUUGGGAUUCAUCGAAAAGCACAUUUGGAUUGGAAACCCACCUUAGUUGCAUAAUAAUCAACUAAAAAUGCAUAGUAACCUAAUAAAAUACCUACAAUCAGAUGGCGACGAACUUCUCCAUGUACAGGUCUUUCCCAGGAAAUAAAUCAAGUAGGACAUCUGACUUGGAUGCCACCGGAAAAA
rnacentral:misc_RNA from 1 species